CUGCCACCUCUUCCGUGCGGCGCCCCCCCCCCCCGUGAGGGCCUCUGUUUUCUGUAUCCGCUUUUCCCAGCCGCUCGGUCUCCCGGUUUCUUCUUUCUGGUGCUCUCCUGCUCUCCCAGCUUCGACUCAUUGCACCUUUUUCUCAUGCUUUCCCGUUGUCCAUUUAAUAUGCUUUUUCAUUUAAUUAAAAUGGGUAAAGUGCAGGUGUAUGAACUACAUUCUUAAAUGAUAUUUUGAAAGUGGAAUUAAAAAUUGAAAUGUAAUACAGCUGAGCAGUCAUUGUUGCUUUUUUUCUUUUGCUGUGCAUAAACAUCUUCUGAAUUUCAGGACUGUUUUUUUCUGGAUGCAGCCGAAUGCACAGAUCAGCAUAUGCCUCUUCUGCUGUUAUACUGUAUUUUUUUUUAACUGAUAUUUUACUGAUGCACUAACUUUACAAAUCAUGUGCUUAUUCUACAAGACCUGACUGGAUACUUUGCUAGUCAUGGGUCACCUCAUCAUUUGACAUUUCUGGAACAUCUUAAACUGCAUGAAAAGUAUUGCAGAUAAAGAAAACAUGGCAACCAUUAAUGUUAGAAAGAAAGAAGUCGCUAGAGAUCCAGAUCACUGUGAUAUCCCAUACUAUGUUUCUGAAUUUGUGGAAAGAGAAGUUGGAAAUGACUAUGAUUCUCUGAGGAAUCUAGACAACCUUGUUGAUAAGCUGUCUGAAAAUAAAAGGCAGUUAGAAGAACAGGUACUUACAGUUUCAUCAGAAGUCCCUAAAAGAAUUCAGAAUGCUUUAAAGAAUGCAGAAGAUUCUAAAAAGUCUCUUAGUCAGCUUUUGGAGGAAGAAACCCUUCUAUCCAGUUCAAUCAGAAGCCACUUACUGAAAGCUCAGCCUUGGAUGGAGGAUCUUGAUGUACUGAUUAGUCAAGUAGAAGAGAUUGAACGGCACCUGUCUUACCUGAAAUGGAUUUCACGAAUAGAAGAGUUAAGUGAUAACAUUCAGCAGUACCUGAUGACCAACAAUGUUCCUGAGGCAGCCACUACUUUAGCAUUCAUGGCAGAACUGGAUAUUAAACUUCAGGAGUCAUCUUGUUCUCAUCUUCUUUCUUUUGUGAGAUCCACUGUUAAAUUCUGGCAUAAAAUUCUUAAAGACAAGUUGUCAAGUGACUUUGAAGAGGUAUUAACCCAGCUUCAUUGGCCGUUUGUGGGGCCACCGCAGUCUCAGGCAUUUGGCCUUGCUGCACCAGCCAGUGCUCCUGAUAUAUACAAUAAUUUGGAGAUGUUAUUUUGUCAACUUUUGAAAUUGCAAACCUCAGAUGAACUACUAACCAAACCUAAACAGUUGCCAGAAAAGUACUCUCUACCUCCAUCACCACCUGUUAUCCUUCCAAUGCAGAUAAUGCUGAAUCCUCUUCAGAAAAGAUUCAAGUAUCAUUUCACCGGAAAUAAACAAACCAAUGUUUUAAACAAGCCUGAGUGGUAUUUAACACAAGUCCUUAUGUGGAUUGGAAGUCAUGCACAGUUCCUUGAUGACAAAAUCCAGCCCAUACUGGACAAGGCAGGAUCUUCAGUGAAUGCUGGGCUUGAAUUCUCUCGUGGUCUAGUAAUGCUGAUUUUGGAGAAGUUGGCUGCUGAUAUUCCAUGCCUUUUAUAUGAUGAUACUCUCUUUUGUCACCUUGUGGAUGAGAUACUUCUAUUUGAGAGAGAGUUAUACACUGUUCAUGGUUAUCUCAGCAGCUUUCCCAGUUGCAUGCAUAUUCUCUCAGAAGAAUCCUGCUUCCAAAGGUGGCUUACGGUGGAAAAAAAAUUUGCUCUUCAGAAAAUGGACUCUAUGCUUUCAUCUGAGGCUGCAUGGAUAUCACAAUAUAAAGAUAUCACUGAUGUUGAUGAAAUGAAAGUCCCAGACUGCGCUGAAACUUUUAUGACUCUGUUGUUAGUUAUAACAGACAGGUAUAAGAAUCUUCCAACAGCUUCCAGAAAACUGCAGUUUCUGGGGUUACAGAAGGAAUUAGUUGAUGACUUCAGGAUACGGUUAACUCAAGUAAUGAAGGAAGAGACUAGAGCUUCUUUAGGCUUUCGAUACUGCGCAAUCCUUAAUGCUGUUAAUUACAUAGCAACAGUAUUGGCAGACUGGGCUGACAAUGUAUUCUUCUUGCAAUUGCAGCAGGCUGAACUAGAGGUUCGUGCAGAAAGUAAUGCUGUCAGUAAACUACAGCUAGGGCAGCUGGCGUCAAUGGAGAGUUCUGUCUUUGAUGAAAUGAUUAACCUCCUAGAACGUCUGAAACAUGAUAUGUUGACUCGUCAGGUAGAUCAUGUCUUCAGAGAGGUCAAAGAUGCUGCAAAGCUGUACAAAAGAGAGAGGUGGCUCUCUCUACCAUCCCAGGCAGAGCAAGCAGUAAUGUCUUUAUCAAGCACAGCUUGCCCAAUGUUGUUGAUCUUCAGAGACCGCCUGCUACAACUAGAACAGCAGCUCUGUCACUCAUUGUUUAAAAUUUUCUGGCAGAUGCUUGCAGAGAAGGUGGAUGUAUUCAUAUAUCAGGAGAUAAUUCUGGCAAAUCAUUUCAAUGAAGGAGGAGCAGCACAACUCCAGUUUGACAUGAGUAGAAAUCUGUUCCCUUUAUUUUCACACUACUGCAAGAGGCCAGAAAACUAUUUCAAACACCUUGACCCACAACAUCCAUCAUCUCGAACAUAGCAGUCAGGUUCGAGUCAUCCAUGAGGCAAGGAUACUCCCCCUCACCUCGCUUUCCAGCCAUCACUCUUUCCAGGACCUGGAUCAGAAACUCGCGUGGUUUUUCUGCAAUGAGAAUUGGCAUGGUAUCAACAUAGGGGACAAUUUCAUACAAAGUAGAACAGGAGAAAGAGCUAACGCUAGUAAAUCAGAUUACUGAGACUCUACUGUCUGUACUGUACCUGCUUUAAUUGGUUAAGAAAUGGUAAGCAAAAAUUAAUUUGCCUGGAUUUCAUCAUACUCAUACUAGAACAGAAAAUCAUUGCUGCCAGCAAAGUUACUAGUUUGUACCACGCUUGCAUUAAUUCAAGGGAAGAGCAAGUUACACAGUAUUGAUUUUAACAUUUCUGCCCCUCUUUUCCACUUCAGCUGCAUUUUUCUUCAUAUCUGGUAAUGCAGUCUACACCUUUUACUUUUUCCCCAUUUUUUUUUUUCCUUUGCCUGGACUCGCUUGCUAAAGGUGGUUUUUACUUAAUCCUAGUAAAUGGGGGUAGAUAACAAAAUGUUAAGAUGCCACCUAGUGGCUUCUAGUAAUGCAUGCUAACUACAGGAAUAAUACUAGUGCCACCCAAUCGUUUUUAAGCUUUAUGUUACAUCCCAAAGUUAUACAGCAGAGGUACCUCUACAGGAGACUGGAGUCUGUCCUCUGCAUGUUGUGAAACUUGGCCUCGAUAUGUUUGUCAAGAGAAAUCGUGCAGCAGAAGACAAACUCUUCAGAGAUCUUCUAAUAUCCCGUAGUGUUUGAAAAGAAGAUUGCAUGUAGGAAGAUGUCUCUUUUGUGUAAAAUCAAGGAAUAGCAACAAACAGUAAGAAACAUGGCUACUUUUAAAAAUCAUUAUUUAGGUUUGCAGCAUAGACUCUGUAAACAGAGCAGAACAGUCACGAAAGACCCUUUUUAUUACCCAAUGUGAAUAAGAGAAAGAUAAUCAAAAAGUGUCCCACUAAGGCAAGAAAAUUCAAGCAAAUCUAGGAAGAUAGCCAUCUGCCAUCAAAUGGAAAAUAGACAAUAAUAAAUGGACAUAUAGUAAAGAAAAUGGAAUUCUUUUGAAACUUAGUUCUAGUACUAUCCAUAUUUAGCUAUUUGCCAAAGCAGAAAUAUCACAAGAUAUUAAUCGAAUCCACCUAUUUUUGAUAGAGGAACAGUGGGAGAAAGGCAACAUUCAAAACUGCAGAGACAAUAUACAUUCUCUGUCUAGUAUUUUUUUAACAGAUUAUGCCAUCUCCCAGAAGUCUUAAUUUGGGCUAGAGGAACUGCCUGGCAGUACUGCAAAUCUCCCUCUCCUAAGGAAUACAGUUCAUAGUACUGAAUCCAGUCCUGAAUUUCACUUUUAUAUCACUUUCAGUAGAAUUUGUAAAGAAAUAACAAAGGCUUUUUCCUACAGGAAGUGAGAUGGGAGAAAGUGUAGUUCGAGAUGCAGAGAAGUACAAGCAAGAGACCUAGCUGGCCAGCAGAGGAGAAAAAAAGACCUGGAGAAUGUUUCUGUGGAAAGGAGAACCUAAGGAUAGGAAGACCAACUAAGAAAGGAAGGAGGAAACGAAAGACUGGAGGGAAGGAAAGCUCCUAUUCAUCUUGGUGGCCCUCCAUUGAACUCAGCUGAGUAUGCCAAAGUCUUGUACUGCGGAGCGCAAAACUGGGCACAGUACUCCAGAUGCAGUCUCUAAAGUGCCAGAACGGACAGGACUAAUCACUUCCCUCAGACUGCUGCCUACAUUUGUGGACAGGUAUGUGGUUAGCUUUCAUCACCACAGGGGCCCGCCACUGACUCACAUGCAGCUGGUCUGCCAGGACCAGCCCAGGUCCUUUUCCUGCAGAGCUGUUUUCUUGGCAAUCAGCACCCAGCUUGUUCAGUUACAAGGGGUUAUUCCUGCCUCCCACAUGCAUGACUUAGGCUUUACCUUUGUUGACCUCAUGAGAUUUCUGUCAGCCCAGUUCUCCAGCGUGUUGAAAUCCCUGCGUCUACUGUAUUAAUCACGCCCCCCCCCCCCAUGACAGCUUUUGGUGUUAUCCAUGAAUUUGCAACCCAUCCCCAUAUCCAGAAUGAUAAUGAAAACCUUCAGUGUUAUUGGCCUCAGUAUUAACUCCUGGGGAAUCCUGCUAGUAGCAAACCAUCAAUUGAACUUCCAACUGCUGACCUCAACCCUCUGAGCCUGCUGUCCAGCCCAUUUUCCAUCCAUCUCAUAUUCCACUCUUUGCAUCCAUCUCUUUCUCCAACUUGGUUAUGAGACUAUAAAAGCGGACUAUGUCAAAAGCCUUGCUAAAGUCAAAGUAAACAACAUUCACUGCUUUCUGUCCAUUCCCCCAAACCAACCAUUUUAUCAUAGAAGGCAAUCAGGUUGAUCAGGAACAAUUCAUAAAUCCAUGUUGGCUGUGCCUGGUCAUGUUCUUGUGCUUGGACAUGGCUUCCAGGAGGAUUUGUUCUGUAAUAUGCCUGGGACUGAGGUUUGGGCUGCGUAGCCUGUAGUUCCCUGGAUCCUUCUUGAAAAUGGGCACAUUUGCCUUUUUCCGGUCCUCAGAAACCUCUCAGGCUCUUUUAAAGAUGAUAGCAGCCAAGCCCCUUGGAUCCAGCCCACCUGGUCCCAUGAAUUUGUGUAUGUCUAGGUUAAGCACUCCCUAACUCAGCCUUCCUCUUGCAUGGAUAAUACCUCACUCCCUAGACUCUGCCCAGAGGCCUGAGCACAGACCUUUCCAGUAAAAACUGAAGCAAAGAUGACACUGACUACCUCAGUCUUUUCUCUGUCCUUUGUCACUAGGGUACCUGCCCCACCUAGUACGGUCCACUUUUUCCUCAGCCUUCCUUUUGCUGUUGAGGUACCUACAGAAAAUCUUUUUGUCCUUCAUGUCCCUCACUGGUUUCAACUCCAGCUGCGCUUUGGCUUUCCUAGUUCUGUUCCAGCAAGUCCAGACAAUGUUUCUAUAUUCCUCCAGGGUAGCCCAUCCCUGCUUCUGCCUCCUCCUGUACACUUGCUUUUUGCAUUUGAUUUCUGUCAGGAGUUCCUCAUUCAGCCAAGCUGGCCGCCUCCUGUACCUGCUCAACUUUCUGCACAUAAGAAUAGACUGUUCUUGUGCUUCAGCUAGUUUCCUGAUGCCCCUUUGCCCUUCGGGGCAGUCUUCUAUGGGAGUCUGCCAAAAAAAAAAAAAAAAAAAAAAAAAAAGUGCCUGAAUGAGACAAAGCAUGCUCUCCUGAAUUCCUGGGUUGCAAUUCUACUAUUUAUCUUGCUCACUUCUCUCAGUAUCUUAAAACUUUACUAUUUCAAAGUCUCUGCUGCCAAGGCUGCCAUCAAUCUAAUAUCCCUCACCAGGCCUUCCUUGCUUGUGAGUUGCAUGCCUAACACAGCAACACUCUGUGUGAAUAAGUUGUCCUUGACACGCUACAGAAGUAACCUGAACUGCUUGUGCUCCACCAUGUUGCCAUUCCAGUCUUCUCCAUGAGAACCAGAGUCUGCAACUGUGAGGCCAGCUGUGAAUGUUUUCUCCAGUCAACUGCAAAAUGAGGACUAUACCUGCUGACAAAAGGUUAUAUACUGAGAAGAAUUAAACAUCGGGAAUUAGAAAAAUAUUUCCAUUCACUGUUUCUGAGUCAAAGAGAAGUAAAAAUGUGACUUUUAGGUUGUGUAACUUAAUGUCUGGGAACUCAGCUGUCUUACAGAACUGGCCACUUCCCAGUUGAAUGAAACCCAGGAAACCAAUUUCCUACCAUUUGGGUGAGACCUUUGCUGAAGGCAAAGGGAAAAAUGAAGUUACUUAGCAGGAACCUGCAUUCCUUGAGAUAUAUAGUAUACCCUUCUUGUGGCUCUGUGCCCCAAGCUCUUAAGACCGGAGACUUUUUUUUAAUCAUAGCAGUAUCCGUAGACUAUGUUCAGGCUACACAGGGCUGUAUAAAUUGUAGUUCACCUCCAUUGCUUUGCUUACUCUGACCCCUCCCAGUCCAAAAAAAAGAGACAUUUUGAACUACAAAAAAGAGGAGGGGAGGCAAUUAGAGGAAGCAAAUGUAAGUGUGAAAUAUGCAUCUCUAAAGACUCAAGUUACAGGUGAAUAAUCUCUUUUUUUUCUGUAUUUGACCGUUAGUCCACAUGUGUAUUCUAACUGUAGUCACUUAAGUCAGUACCCUAUAGAAGUACAAUUACCAGGAAGAGGUCUUGAAGCAUUUCCUGAUAUCAGCAUUACUCCACCAGAUUCAACAGAUGCAUCAGCAUUUGGUGAAUGUGAAUGUCAGUGUAGAUGGUUUCCCACAGGUGUCAAGAAUGGAGAUACUCUUCACAUGGGCUGCAACAGUGCAUAUGCUAUAAUGGAGCAUGUUCUGAUUACUGGGGACAGUAGAUUCAGAACAUAAUGCUGUGUAAUCUGUUACACAGCCAUCCUUUGUGUAAAGGUGUUCAUGAUUCUUCAAAAAACAGAGAUUAACAUGCUUGGAGAAUCUCUGUAGUGCUUGUUUCCGUGAAUGUAAAAAGGUAAGACUUAUUAGAGCAGACAGUAGUUUCUUGGCCUCACUCUAUGAUGUCUCAGAAACAACACAGGUACAUUGGUACAAAUAAAACUCUGUGAUACAUCUCCAGGGAGAGAUUUAGAAAAAAAUCCAAUGGCGUACCUGUCUGGGAAAGACACAGUAGAGUGCCAAUGAUAAGGCCUUGGAUAUCAGCAGCUCCAAGUGGGAAUUACAGCUACUGAGAACUAAUAGCUACCAAGUUACUUAAUGAAUAAUAUUAAGAACAAGCAAUAAAGGCGGCUCAGUAUUGUGAAAAUACCUAAGAAGGCUCUAAGAAGCAUUUCUGAGAAACUGACCGUACAGGACAGUCCUUGCGGACAGAUCAUCAUUAUUGCUUCCUCAACAUUUGGAUCAUAUGAUAAUUCAGGUUGGAAGGGACCCCAGGAGGUUUCUAGACCAACCACCUGCUCGAAGCAAGGUCAGCUUUGAGGUCAGACCAGGUUACUCGAGGCUUUAUCCAGCUGGAUCUUGAAAACACCCAAGGUCCUCCAGGACCUGGAGGCUCUGUCACCAUUCCCUCCUAGAGGCGAAGCUGGAAAUAGCUGACAUGGACACUUUGGCCUCACAGAAUCGCACUUGGCAGUUUAUCAGGCUGUUCAUUAUGUUUACUUCAACAGGCCCUUUACACCUACAGUAUUCUGUAAAUACACCUUGACCAUUCUAAACAGGUUUUCUGAAAAAAUUAGUUUUUGGGGGUGUUUGCGUACCUUGCUAGUAACUGCUUCAAAAUAAUCAAACCCAGCUUUAAUUUCAGAACUAAGUCCUUCAGGUUUUGGAAAUCUGCAAUGAGGUAGCUGAAUGUUCUGCAUCAUCUGGAAUCCCUACUACUGUCUUUAACCUCAGAUCAAGCUCUCCUGGAUCCUGAUUGUUCUUUUUGUCAGGCUUCCUUUAAAGAGUCCCUUUGUGGGGAGAACAGAUCACAGACUAGAUCUAAAUGUUUCUGCAGGUCAGCUAUAAUAAACAAACAAAAUCAAAGAA